AGAGACUUAGGCUAAAUCAGACCAGCAGCCUUCAAAGCUGUUAGCGGAAGUUAAAAUCUUCCAGUCCCUG
rnacentral:tRNA from 2 species